rnacentral:rRNA from 1 species
GAUGAACGCUAGCUACAGGCUUAACACAUGCAAGUCGAGGGACAGCAUGAACUUAGCUUGCUAAGUUUGAUGGCGACCGGCGCACGGGUGAGUAACACGUAUCCAACCUGCCGAUGACUCGGGGAUAGCCUUUCGCAAGAAAGAUUAAUACCCGAUGGCAUAGUUCUUCCGCAUGGUAGAACUAUUAAAGAAUUUCGGUCAUCGUUGGGGAUGCGUUCCAUUAGGUUGUUGGCGGGGUAACGGCCCACCAAGCCUUCGAUGGAUAGGGGUUCUGAGAGGAAGGUCCCCCACAUUGGAACUGAGACACGGUCCAAACUCCUACGGGAGGCAGCAGUGAUGAAUAUUGGUCAAUGGACGAGAGUCUGAAACAGCCAAGUAGCGGGAAGGAUGACUGGCCUAGGGGUUGUAAGCUUCUUUUAUACGGGAAUAAAGUGAGGCACGUGUGCCUUUUUGUAUGUACCGUAUGAAUAAGGAUCGGCUAACUCCGUG